GACUCUCGGCAACGGAUAUCUCGGCUCACGCAUCGAUGAAGAACGUAGCGAAAUGCGAUACUUGGUGUGAAUUGCAGAAUCCCGUGAACCAUCGAGUUUUUGAACGCAAGUUGCGCCCAAAGCCAUUCGGCCGAGGGCACGUCUGCCUGGGCGUCACGC
rnacentral:rRNA from 1 species